rnacentral:rRNA from 1 species
AACGAACGCUGGCGGCAGGCUUAACACAUGCAAGUCGAGCGCCUCGCAAGAGGAGCGGCCGACGGGUGAGUAACGCGUGGGAACGUACCCUUAUCUUCGGAAUAGCUCUGGGAAACUGGAAGUAAUACCGAAUGUGCCCUUAGGGGGAAAGAUUUAUCGGAUAAGGAUCGGCCCGCGUUGGAUUAGCUAGUUGGUGGGGUAAAGGCCUACCAAGGCGACGAUCCAUAGCUGGUCUGAGAGGAUGAUCAGCCACAUUGGGACUGAGACACGGCCCAAACUCCUACGGGAGGCAGCAGUGGGGAAUAUUGGACAAUGGGCGCAAGCCUGAUCCAGCCAUGCCGCGUGAGUGAUGAAGGCCUUAGGGUCGUAAAGCUCUUUCACCGGAGAAGAUAAUGACGGUAUCCGGAGAAGAAGCCCCGGCUAACUUCGUG